GAUUAACGCUGGCGGCGUGCCUAACACAUGCAAGUCGAGCGGCAGCGAGUUUUACACUGAAUUCUGGAAGCUUCUGGUUUGAAGAGAAGAUUUAUUCAAGAAUUUUGUGUAAAAUGUCGGCGAGCGGCGGACGGCUGAGUAACGCGUGGGAACGUACCCCAAAGUGAGGGAUAACGCAUCGAAAGGUGUGCUAAUACCGCAUAUGGUCUUCGGAUUAAAGCCUUCGGGCGCUUUGGGAACGGCCUGCGUAAGAUUAGAUAGUUGGUGGGGUAAUGGCCUACCAAGUCGACGAUCUUUAACUGGUUUGAGAGGAUGAUCAGUCAGACUGGAACUGAGACACGGUCCAGACUCCUACGGGAGGCAGCAGUGAGGAAUCUUCCACAAUGGGCGAAAGCCUGAUGGAGCAACGCCGCGUGCAGGAUGAAGGCCUUCGGGUUGUAAACUGCUUUUAUAAGUGAGGAUUAUGACAGUAACUUAUGAAUAAGGAUCGGCUAACUACGUGCCAGCAGCCGCGGUCAUACGUAGGAUCCGAGCGUUAUCCGGAGUGACUGGGCGUAAAGAGUUGCGUAGGUGGUUCGAUAAGCGAAUAGUGAAAUCUGGUGGCUCAACCAUUCAGACUAUUAUUCGAAUUGUUGAACUCGAGAGCAGAAGAGGUAGCUGGAAUUUCUAAUGUAGGAGUGAAAUCCGUAGAUAUUAGAAGGAACACCGAUGGCGUAGGCAGGCUACUGGGCUGUUUCUGACACUGAGGCACGAAAGCGUGGGGAGCGAACCGGAUUAGAUACCCGGGUAGUCCACGCCGUAAACGAUGGAUACUAGCUGUUUGGGGUAUCGACCCCCUGAGUAGCGAAGCUAACGCGUUAAGUAUCCCGCCUGUGGAGUACGAUCGCAAGAUUAAAACAUAAAGGAAUUGACGGGGACCCGCACAAGCGGUGGAUCAUGUUCUUUAAUUCGAUGAUAACCGAUAAACCUUACCAGGUCUUGACAUCCUUGGAAUCUUUCAGAAAUGAGAGAGUGCUUUUUAAGAGCCAAGUGACAGGUGAUGCAUGGCCGUCGUCAGCUCGUGUCGUGAGAUGUUUGGUUAAGUCCAUCAACGAGCGCAACCCUUGUCAGUAGUUGUAUUUUUCUACUGAGACUGCCCCGGCAACGGGGAGGAAGGAGGGGAUGACGUCAGGUCAGUAUUUCCCUUACGUCCUGGGCUAGAAACGUGAUACAAUGGCUAGUACAAUGCGCAGCGAAGCCGCGAGGUGAAGCAAAUCGCAUCAAAGCUAGUCCCAGUUCGGAUUGUAGGCUGAAACUCGCCUGCAUGAAGUCGGAAUCGCUAGUAAUCGCAGAUCAGCAUGCUGCGGUGAAUACGUUCCCGGGUCU
rnacentral:rRNA from 1 species